UACGGAGGGGGCUAGCGUUGUUCGGAAUUACUGGGCGUAAAGCGCACGUAGGCGGUCUGUCGCGUCUGCUGUGAAAACCUGGGGCUUAACCCCGGGCCUGCAGUGGGUACGGGCAGACUAGAGUGUGGUAGGGGAGACUGGAAUUCCUGGUGUAGCGGUGAAAUGCGCAGAUAUCAGGAGGAACACCGGUGGCGAAGGCGGGUCUCUGGGCCAUAACUGACGCUGAGGAGCGAAAGCGUGGGGAGCGAACAGG
rnacentral:rRNA from 1 species